rnacentral:rRNA from 1 species
GACAUAGGUCGCAAACGUUAUCCGGAAUUAUUGGCGUAAAGGAUGCGUAGAUGGUUUAGUAAGUUACUGGUGGGAAAUCGAGGCUCAACCUCGUGGAAGUCAGUAAUACUGCUGAACUUGAGUGCAGGAGAGGUUAACGGAACUUUAUGUGGAGCGGUAAAAUGCGUAGAUAUAUGAAAGAACAUCAAUGUGGCGAAAGCAGUUAACUAUUCUGUUACUGACAUUGAGGCAUGAAAGCGUGGGGAGCAAAACGG